GUGGGGAAUAUUGGACAAUGGGCGCAAGCCUGACGCAGCCAUGCCGCGUGAAUGAUGAAGGUCUUAGGAUUGUAAAAUUCUUUCACCGGGGACGAUAAUGACGGUACCCGGAGAAGAAGCCCCGGCUAACUUCGUGCCAGCAGCCGCGGUAAUACGAAGGGGGCUAGCGUUGCUCGGAAUUACUGGGCGUAAAGGGCGCGUAGGCGGACAGUUAAGUUGGGGGUGAAAGCCCGGGGCUCAACCUCGGAACUGCCUUCAAUACUGGCUGUCUUGAGUAUGAGAGAGGUGUGUGGAACUCCGAGUGUAGAGGUGAAAUUCGUAGAUAUUCGGAAGAACACCAGUGGCGAAGGCGACACACUGGCUCAUUACUGACGCUGAGGCGCGAAAGCGUGGGGAGCAAACAGGAUUAGAUACCCUGGUAGUCC
rnacentral:rRNA from 1 species